rnacentral:lncRNA from 1 species
AUGGGGAUUGGCCAUGCAUUUUGUCCGGCGAUUCCUCUAGCUUUUUGAAGCAAGCAUGGUGGCAAUUUGCCAAGGAUUUGGGAAGCCUAUCACGUUCCCUGAUUCCUAAAGUUCCAUUUGGGACAUUUGAACAAAUGGAUUCCAUCAGUCACCUCACUAAUUCCUCGGCUCAAUGUUCUGUCACUUUGGUUCCUUUACUUCUAAAAUACCCAAUGCCGGCACACC